UACGUAGGUGGCGAGCGUUGUCCGGAAUUACUGGGCGUAAAGAGCACGUAGGCGGGAACCUAAGUCAGGUGUGAAAGACCGUGGCUCAACCACGGGGUGGCAUUUGAAACUGGGUUUCUUGAGGGCAGGAGAGGAAAGCAGAAUUCCUGGUGUAGCGGUGAAAUGCGUAGAAAUCAGGAGGAAUACCAGUGGCGAAGGCGGCUUUCUGGACUGACCCUGACGCUGAGGUGCGAAAGCGUGGGGAGCAAACAGGAUUAGAUACCCCCGUAGUCCCUGAGCGGG
rnacentral:rRNA from 1 species